UCACUUUGGCAGUGCAUACACGAAAACUGGAACAGCACAGAGAAGAUUGGCAUGGUUCUUACACAAGGAUGAGAUGCAAAUUCGUGAAGCAUUCCAUAUUAAA
rnacentral:snRNA from 1 species